rnacentral:misc_RNA from 1 species
AAGUCGUAACAAGGUUUUCCGUAGGUGAACCUGCGGAAGGAUCAUUAACACGUAUUCAACGUUAAACCCCCUCCGUGAACCUUCAAACGCAGUGCCUUGGCGCUAAGAGGGCUUAAUCAACCCAACGCGGGUGUAGCCGGUGGAUUAACUUACAGAUCCUUCAAUGGAUUCCUCCCCGACCCCAAUUUUUACUACCGCUCCGCGCCUAACAGCGUGGGGCACUUAAGAAAAACGUACUAAACAAUAACAAUGGAUAUCUUGGUUCUC